rnacentral:lncRNA from 1 species
AGUCUGCGAUUGAUUGCUGUAGUUCUCUCCCAGAGCACAGUUGAGUUGAUUGCUUUUUUGAGAAAGCCUCUAAGGGAUUUGCUGUCUGUGUGCCUAUUGGGCUGUCUGUGCCCCUGGCUGGAGCAGAAACUGAGGAAGGAAGAUCCUACGGCUCAUCAAGUAAAACGGUCUUUUGGGGAAGAAGCAUUCUUAGAAAUGCUGCACCAAGAGUUGGAAUUGAGAAUUCAGAAAACAUGAUAGAGAAGGAACAGGAAGAAACCAUUUGGACAUCCAAAAAUAAAAGGCCAGGUAAUGGAAACAUAGAACUCAGCAGAAAAUGAGAUUAUCAAAGCAUGUAUGUGAGGACAUUUCUUUUAUGUAGGUCCUGGCCAGAGCAGAGCUAGCCUUUCCAAGUUUCUAACUCAGCCUAGAUAAGUAACAGAGGCCCAAGAAAAUGUAUAUGCAAUACUUGUGGGUUAUAUUUGCUUUGUAUUAUAUUAGUUUUGUAUUUGUAUAUUAGCAUUUUAGAAUUGCCUUCAAUUAGUACCAAUUUAGUAUUUUUUCCCUUUGCUUUAACGAGGAAUCUCCAUAAGACAUAGUUAAGUGAGGACUGUUGCUUUAUCUUCUGUAAAGCCACACUGAAGACAUCAUCUGUUGUUUUACUCAACAUCUAGGUGAUGAGUUCUUCUUAUAACUCUGUGAUAAAUAAAUGCUUGUUUGGAGUUCUUCUUAAAAUGCAGAGCCAGGAAAACAUUUCUCUCUUCUCAUGUGCUGAUUAAUUUCCUUUUAUCCUACAGCAAGAACCAUGAAACUAUAAUUUUAAUUUUUGUCUUGCUUUGAGUGCCAGGAAGCUCACAGCUAAAUGUAAUGCUUAGAUACUUUCCUAACAGUUGGUGUCAGGUAUAAUGAUAUUUUCUUUUUUUUUUUUAAGAGACAGAAUCUCACUUUGUUGCCCAGGCUGGUGGUCUCUAACUCCUGGACUUAAGCAAUCCUCCCGCCUCAGCCUCCCAAAGUGCUGGGA